rnacentral:rRNA from 1 species
UACGAAGGGGGGCUAGCGUUGUUCGGAAUUACUGGGCGUAAAGCGCGCGCAGGCGGUCUUCCAAGUCAGUGGUGAAAAGCCUGGAGCUCAACUCCAGAACUGCCAUUGAAACUGUUAGACUUGAGUACGAGAGAGGUGAGUGGAAUUCCCAGUGUAGAGGUGAAAUUCGUAGAUAUUGGGAAAGAACACCAGUGGCGAAGGCGGCUCACUGGCUCGUAACUGACGCUCAGGCGCGACAGCGUGGGGAUCAAACAGG